CCUAAUACAUGCAAGUCGAACGAACUCUGGUAUUGAUUGGUGCUUGCAUCAUGAUUUACAUUUGAGUGAGUGGCGAACUGGUGAGUAACACGUGGGAAACCUGCCCAGAAGCGGGGGAUAACACCUGGAAACAGAUGCUAAUACCGCAUAACAACUUGGACCGCAUGGUCCGAGCUUGAAAGAUGGCUUCGGCUAUCACUUUUGGAUGGUCCCGCGGCGUAUUAGCUAGAUGGUGGGGUAACGGCUCACCAUGGCAAUGAUACGUAGCCGACCUGAGAGGGUAAUCGGCCACAUUGGGACUGAGACACGGCCCAAACUCCUACGGGAGGCAGCAGUAGGGAWUYUUCCMCAAUGGACGAAARUYUGAUGGAGCAACGCCGCGUGARUGAAGAAAGGGUUUCGGCUCGUAAAACUYYGUUGUUAAAGAAGAACAUAUCUGAGAGUAACUGUUCAGGUAUUGACGGUAUUUAACCAGAAAGCCACGGCUAACUACGUGCCAGCAGCCGCGGUAAUACGUAGGUGGCAAGCGUUGUCCGGAUUUAUUGGGCGUAAAGCGAGCGCAGGCGGUUUUUUAAGUCUGAUGUGAAAGCCUUCGGCUCAACCGAAGAAGUGCAUCGGAAACUGGGAAACUUGAGUGCAGAAGAGGACAGUGGAACUCCAUGUGUAGCGGUGAAAUGCGUAGAUAUAUGGAAGAACACCAGUGGCGAAGGCGGCUGUCUGGUCUGUAACUGACGCUGAGGCUCGAAAGUAUGGGUAGCAAACAGGAUUAGAUACCCUGGUAGUCCAUACCGUAAACGAUGAAUGCUAAGUGUUGGAGGGUUUCCGCCCUUCAGUGCUGCAGCUAACGCAUUAAGCAUUCCGCCUGGGGAGUACGGCCGCAAGGCUGAAACUCAAAGGAAUUGACGGGGGCCCGCACAAKCGGUGGARCAUGUGGUUUAAUUCGAAGCUACSCRAAGAACCUUACCAGGUCUUGACWUACUAUGCAAAUCUAAGAGAUUAGACGUUCCCUUCGGGGACAUGGAUACAGGUGGUGCAUGGUUGUCGUCAGCUCGUGUCGUGAGAUGUUGGGUUAAGUCCCGCAACGAGCGCAACCCUUAUUAUCAGUUGCCAGCAUUAAGUUGGGCACUCUGGUGAGACUGCCGGUGACAAACCGGAGGAAGGUGGGGAUGACGUCAAAUCAUCAUGCCCCUUAUGACCUGGGCUACACACGUGCUACAAUGGAUGGUACAACGAGUUGCGAACUCGCGAGAGUAAGCUAAUCUCUUAAAGCCAUUCUCAGUUCGGAUUGUAGGCUGCAACUCGCCUACAUGAAGUCGGAAUCGCUAGUAAUCGCGGAUCAGCAUGCCGCGGUGAAUACGUUCCCGGGCCUUGUACACACCGCCCGUCACACCAUGAGAGUUUGUAACACCCAAAGUCGGUGGGGUAACCUUUUAGGAACCAGCCGCC
rnacentral:rRNA from 1 species